CUUCCGUAGGGUGAACCUGCGGAAGGAUCAUUACCGAGUUGAUUCGGGCUCCGGCCCGAUCCUCCCACCCUUUGUGUACCCACCUCUGUUGCUUUGGCGGGCCGCGGUCCUCCGCGGCCGCCCUCCGUCCGGGGGGUGGCCAGCGCCCGCCAGAGGACCAUCGAACUCCGGUCAGUGAACGUUGCCGUCUGAAAAACAAUCAAUAAACUAAAACUUUCAACAACGGAUCUCUUGGUUCUGGCAUCGAUGAAGAACGCAGCGAAAUGCGAUAAGUAAUGUGAAUUGCAGAAUUCAGUGAAUCAUCGAAUCUUUGAACGCACAUUGCGCCCCUCGGUAUUCCGAGGGGCAUGCCUGUUCGAGCGUCAUUACAACCCUCAAGCUCUGCUUGGUGUUGGGCACCGCCCUUCCGCGGGCGCGCCUCAAAGACCUCGGCGGUGGCGUCUUGCCUCGAGCGUAGUAGAAAACACCUCGCUUUGGAGCGCACGGCGCCGCCCGCCGGACGAACCUUUUGAACUUUCUCAAGGUUGACCUCGGAUCAGGUAGGGAUACCCGCUGAACUUAAGCAUAUCAAUAA
rnacentral:rRNA from 1 species